UACGUAGGGUGCGAGCGUUAAUCGGAAUUACUGGGCGUAAAGCGUGCGUAGGCGGUUCGUUAAGCUCGUUGUGAAAGCCCCGGGCUCAACCUGGGAAUGGCAAUGGAAACUGGCGGGCUGGAGUAUGGCAGAGGGGGGUGGAAUUCCGCGUGUAGCAGUGAAAUGCGUAGAGAUGCGGAGGAACACCGAUGGCGAAGGCAGCCCCCUGGGCCAAUACUGACGCUCAGGCACGAAAGCGUGGGGAGCAAACGGGG
rnacentral:rRNA from 1 species